UUUCGGAGCAUAUUCUCAGUUAAAUAGUUUGAAAUGGCUUUUUUCAAAGUACACUGGAUGAUGAACACAGGUUCUGGAUCUAUUUAUCCUUGUGGUAUCGGUGCACAAGAGGAUUCGAAAACAAGCCUGAGCAAGUCAAAAAGUGUCCUGUGGUAACAGCUCAUCAAAUAAAGUCUUGGCCAUGUGCUCAAUUGAUGUUAUUUCUUGACAAGAUUGGAAUUUAAAAACAAUGACUGAAAGAUGGAUCCUACCAUGGUUUAGAGUGCCCAAAGUAUGAAUGAUUUGUUUAAAAUAAAGAAAACUAAAUUUUCUGUUUGGUAACAUUUCAGUCAACUAGCCAAUGAAAAAGGCCAGUUAGUGUCAAUCAACAUAGCUAUUUGUAUUAUGUGCAAGGCUACCGUUUCUUCAAAAGGUGGAAGUACAACAAAAUUAACCGUACUCCUUAAGGUUAACCAUCCAAUGAUUUUUUUCCACAAACUUCUCUUGAUAAUCAGUGCAUCCAGGUUGCAGUAAUUGCUGAAGAGGAAUGUGAUGGUCUUGUACCCGUUAUUUCUGACUGAAAAUGGCCUCAAAAUCUGGUUAUAUUGGUGAAUUGCCCCUGAAA